rnacentral:rRNA from 1 species
GAUGAACGCUGGCGGCGUGCUUAACACAUGCAAGUCGAACGGAACUGUCAUUUUUGAAGCAAUUAGCUUGCUAAGGGUGGAAAUGUUGGCAGUUUAGUGGCGGACGGGUGAGUAACGCGUGGGUAACCUGCCUUGCACUGGGGGAUAACACUUAGAAAUAGGUGCUAAUACCGCAUAAGCGCACGGGAUCGCAUGGUCUUGUGUGAAAAACUCCGGUGGUGCAAGAUGGACCCGCGUCUGAUUAGCUGGUUGGCGGGGUAACGGCCCACCAAGGCGACGAUCAGUAGCCGGCCUGAGAGGGUGGACGGCCACAUUGGGACUGAGACACGGCCCAAACUCCUACGGGAGGCAGCAGUGGGGAAUAUUGGACAAUGGGGGGAACCCUGAUCCAGCGACGCCGCGUGAGUGAAGAAGUAUUUCGGUAUGUAAAGCUCUAUCAGCAGGGAAGAAAGAAAUGACGGUACCUGACUAAGAAGCCCCGGCUAACUACGUGCCAGCAGCCGCGGUAAUACGUAGGGGGCAAGCGUUAUCCGGAUUUACUGGGUGUAAAGGGAGCGUAGACGGCAAUGCAAGUCUGGAGUGAAAGGCGGGGGCCCAACCCCCGGACUGCUCUGGAAACUGUAUAGCUGGAGUGCAGGAGAGGUAAGUGGAAUUCCUAGUGUAGCGGUGAAAUGCGUAGAUAUUAGGAGGAACACCAGUGGCGAAGGCGGCUUACUGGACUGUAACUGACGUUGAGGCUCGAAAGCGUGGGGAGCAAACAGGAUUAGAUACCCUGGUAGUCCACGCC